rnacentral:rRNA from 1 species
UACGUAGGGUGCAAGCGUUAAUCGGAAUUACUGGGCGUAAAGCGUGCGCAGGCGGCGCGUUAAGACAGGUGUGAAAGCCCCGAGCUUAACUUGGGAAUUGCGCUUGUGACUGGCGAGCUAGAGUGUGGCAGAGGGAGGUGGAAUUCCACGUGUAGCAGUGAAAUGCGUAGAGAUGUGGAGGAACACCGAUGGCGAAGGCAGCCUCCUGGGCCAGCACUGACGCUCAUGCACGAAAGCGUGGGGAGCAAACAGG